UGGGGAAUCUUGGACAAUGGGCGCAAGCCUGAUCCAGCCAUGCCGCGUGAGUGAUGAAGGCCCUAGGGUUGUAAAACUCUUUCGUGGGGGACGAUAAUGACGGUACCCCAAGAAGAAGCUCCGGCUAACUUCGUGCCAGCAGCCGCGGUAAUACGAAGGGGGCUAGCGUUGUUCGGAUUUACUGGGCGUAAAGCGCGUGUAGGCGGACUGGAAAGUUGGGGGUGAAAUCCCGAGGCUCAACCUCGGAACUGCCUCCAAAACUUCCAGUCUGGACUCAAGCAGAGGCAAGUGGAAUUGCGAGUGUAGAGGUGAAAUUCGUAGAUAUUCGCAGGAACACCAGUGGCGAAGGCGACUUGCUGGGCUUGUAGUGACGCUGAGACGCGAAAGCGUGGGGAGCAAA
rnacentral:rRNA from 1 species